rnacentral:rRNA from 1 species
AUACGGAGGGUGCAAGCGUUAUUCGGAAUUACUGGGCGUAAAGCGCGUGUAGGCGGAUCGUUAAGUCAGGGGUGAAAGCCCGGAGCUCAACUCCGGAAUUGCCCUUGAUACUGGCGAUCUAGAGGCCGGGAGAGGUGAGCGGAAUUCCCAGUGUAGAGGUGAAAUUCGUAGAUAUUGGGAGGAACACCAGUGGCGAAGGCGGCUCACUGGCCCGGUUCUGACGCUGAGACGCGAAAGCGUGGGGAGCAAACAGGAUUAGAAACCCUAGUAGUCC